rnacentral:rRNA from 1 species
GUCUGACGGAGCAACGCCGCGUGAGUGAUGAAGGUUUUCGGAUCGUAAAGCUCUGUUGUUAGGGAAGAACAAGUGCAAGAGUAACUGCUUGCACCUUGACGGUACCUAACCAGAAAGCCACGGCUAACUACGUGCCAGCAGCCGCGGUAAUACGUAGGUGGCAAGCGUUGUCCGGAAUUAUUGGGCGUAAAGGGCUCGCAGGCGGUUUCUUAAGUCUGAUGUGAAAGCCCCCGGCUCAACCGGGGAGGGUCAUUGGAAACUGGGAAACUUGAGUGCAGAAGAGGAGAGUGGAAUUCCACGUGUAGCGGUGAAAUGCGUAGAGAUGUGGAGGAACACCAGUGGCGAAGGCGACUCUCUGGUCUGUAACUGACGCUGAGGAGCGAAAGCGUGGGGAGCGAACAGGAUUAGAUACCCUGGUAGUCCACGCCGUAAACGAUGAGUGCUAAGUGUUAGGGGGUUUCCGCCCCUUAGUGCUGCAGCUAACGCAUUAAGCACUCCGCCUGGGGAGUACGGUCGCAAGACUGAAACUCAAAGGAAUUGACGGGGGCCCGCACAAGCGGUGGAGCAUGUGGUUUAAUUCGAAGCAACGCGAAGAACCUUACCAGGUCUUGACAUCCUCUGACAACCCUAGAGAUAGGGCUUUCCCUUCGGGGACAGAGUGACAGGUGGUGCAUGGUUGUCGUCAGCUCGUGUCGUGAGAUGUUGGGUUAAGUCCCGCAACGAGCGCAA